GAUAAUUGAAUCUUUUGGAUUUUAUUCCUAUUUUCAGGGAAAUUCAAAUGGCAUUGCUACUGUGGAUGUUUCAGCAGGGUUUGUGGGACUAGAAAGCUACGUGGAGAUACCAGCAAUCUUCCUUACAGCAUUUGCAACAUACGCAGGACCUUUGCUUUGGGCCAUUCAUCUUCUGUGCUAUUUGAGUUCUGAAGUCAGCAGAUUAAAAGCUCAACUAGUAGUGUUGCCAGCUACACUGCUGGUUUAAACUGAUGUCACGUGGGUAGCUGUGACCUGUAAUACCCACAUCACUUAUUUUGUGUCCAUUGCCCUUCAUCCUUACUUGGGACCCAACUGGUAAGAGUCUGUGUCUUCUUUACUGUUGCCUAUGAGAUAUUUAUGUAUACUGAGAGGAGCCUUUUCUCAUCAAAACUAAAUAUUUCCAAUUUUCAUCGUUUCUUCUCUUCUGUCAGAUGCUUCAUUCCCAGUAUCAUAUUUGUGGUCCAUCAGUAGACUUGCUCCAGUAUAUUCAUGUCUUUCUUAGACAGGGGAGCCCAAAUCUGGAGCCAGGACGACAAGUGUAAUCUCACCACUGCUAAAGGGAGGGAAUGGAGCAUCAACUUGAGACAGCUAGCAAUCCACUGCAGUCCCAGAUGAUACUGGUGUUUGACCCAGGACAACAUAUGUCCUUCUCAGACAAGCUGCUUUCCCAGUGGUCAUCCCCCAGCCCACCCUGGCAUAUGAGUUUAUUCUUCCCCAUGUGCAGGAUUUGGCAUUUCCUGCAGUUGAACUUCCUGAGUUUGUUGUCAGCCCAUUUUACUGGCCUGCUCAGGUCCCUUUGAAUGGCACUGCAUGUAGACUUGCUGAGGAUGUUGUCUGUGCUGUGCUCCUUUAAGGAAGGUGGCCCCAGUGUGUGAAGCCCUGUGGCUGGAUGCUAGUGAGUGGCCUCCAGGUGGAGUUUGUGCUGCUGAUCAGAACCCUGUAUGCUGAGUGGCUGGGCCAGUUUUCAGUCCACCUCUUUGUCCACUUAUCUGAUCUGCACUGCAUCAGUUUUCCUGUUACGAUUUUACAGUGGCAAGAGCCUCCUUGUGAACUGCAAGUGUGUUGGAUACAUAAAGUCCAUGCAUUGUCAGGGCUCUCUGGUAAAAAAAAAAAGAUUAGAAAAUAAGGAAAAUCAAGUUGUAAGUGGUUAAACAAUUUGCAUCCACUUAAUCAGGCACAUGGAAGAAUAAGAUUUUCUUCUCAUGUGCAAAGGUAAAUAUGCUUCUAAAAUAACUAAUGGCAUGUGACAGACAGGCAUGUGGAUACUAGUGCCACUUUUUGUCCUUCAUGCUCUCAUAAAAAACUUGGCAGCUGGAAUCUGAUGGGAUUUUCACAGACAGAAAUAGUAAGAACUGUUCUGCUUUAGUCUCCAUGGAAACUGUGCAAUAACUCUUGACUAUGCUUCUGAGACAGUCAGCACUGAUGAAACAGAUGCCUAAACUUAACCAAGCAUUCUCUUUGUGACCAGCAUAAAUUCCAGAGAGCACAUGAGUCAUGUAAAGAGUAGUUUUUAGAGUGCUCACUGUAUUGCUCUACUCUGAAUUAGAACUUAGCAUUUGGGGAUUCUUAUGACUGGAAGGGCCAUGUUAUUGUAUAACCAGACCUGUAUUACAUGGCCUCACUGCACUCAUCUCACUCCAGAUGGAUUCAGUUUUUACAUUCCUACCCAAACAGAGUUGUCUUUUGGGUGACAGUCACAGUGUUGUGUAAUUAGCUUUCUUCAAAUAGACAGCAUUGUAGUUUUCAGGUUACUUGUUCAUUAGAAUCUCUGUUUUAAUUGGUUUAAUGAGUCAGGUUUCAGUGUGAAUGCUGUAUGUCUCCUAACAUUAGAAGAAAGCUGCAAGUCCGUUGGCUUCUCUUCCCUACUGAUCAAAUGUUUUAGUAAUGCUUUCCUAUUAGCAACCUUUCAGGCUUUCAGGGGUUGAAAAUCUAACUUAUGCCCAGUGAGGGGAUGUUUGUUGCAAAACACUUAAUGUUAUGCUGGGACUUUGUUAAUGUAGAAUAUUUGCACAGUAAGCUUAAGAUUUGCUGUGACUUUUUUUAUGAUGCUGAUUUAAAAAGUAUGCUUGUUGUAGGAAUAUCUAACGUUAAAGUUUCAGCUUUUGCCAUCUCCAAUCUAAUUCAUUUCAUUUAUGGAGUCCUCCAUUCACAGUUCAUGCUAAUAUAUUAAUCCUUUUUCUUUCUUAUAUAAACUGAAUAUGCAGUGAGUGUUUUAAUAUUAUUUCUUCUAUGAGUUCUAGGUAGAAAUUGCAGUCCUCCCAAAAGACAAAGAAACAAUCCAACCCUUUUUUUCUGAACCCUUCAGUAUUGUACAUAAAUAGUAUUUAAUUCCUCUGGUUUCACUCAAUUCUCUCUCCCUUAGGUUAAUUAAAGAUGAAGAAAUGUUUACAGCUAUGAAUAUGUUGCAACUACAUUUUCUAGAAUGGUAAUACCUGCUCUAUGCUGUGUUUGCCAGCAAUCGAGCUCUCUGACUAAAAUAAAAAAUGUAGAAGAAGGUAUCUUAUUCCUUCCUGGGUGUAGAGAAAUCUGGGAAUCAUUUCAAAGCAGAAACGUGGCUUUAUUGCCACAGGCUGGAAGACUAUUGUACUCACUUUGGCAUCUCCUGACAUCUUGUCAUUGUGAGUAUGAUCUGGAGAUUCCUCUUAGUCAUCAUUAAAGUUCUGUGAUGGAGACCUCUUCAUCAGUUGCCUCAGUGUUAGAAACAAAUGACAAGUUACUUGAAAUCCUUCUGCAAAAUAAAUGUCAUCCUCUUCCUUUAUGGACCAGUUGUGCAGCUGUGUUUUAGGAGAUGAAAUACUUUCUACUUAAAUGUUAAAGGAAAUUGUGAGCACAGAAUUAUAAACACACAGAUUUGGAGUG